CCUACGGGUGGCAGCAGUGGGGAAUAUUGGGCAAUGGGCGCAAGCCUGACCCAGCAACGCCGCGUGAAGGAAGAAGGCUUUCGGGUUGUACACUUCUUUUGACAGGGAAGAGUAGAAGACGGUACCUGACGAAUAAGCCACGGCUAACUACGUGCCAGCAGCCGCGGUAAUACGUAGGUGGCAAGCGUUGUCCGGAUUUACUGGGUGUAAAGGGCGUGUAGCCGGGUUGACAAGUCAGAUGUGAAAUCCUGCGGCUUAACCGCAGAACUGCAUUUGAAACUGUUGAUCUUGAGUACUGGAGAGGCAGACGGAAUUCCUAGUGUAGCGGUGAAAUGCGUAGAUAUUAGGAGGAACACCAGUGGCGAAGGCGGUCUGCUGGACAGCAACUGACGGUGAGGCGCGAAAGCGUGGGGAGAAAACAGGAGUAGAUACCCCAGUAGUC
rnacentral:rRNA from 1 species